rnacentral:rRNA from 1 species
CCUACGGGUGGCAGCAGUGGGGAAUAUUGGGCAAUGGAGGCAACUCUGACCCAGCAACGCCGCGUGAGUGAUGAAGGUCUUCGGAUUGUAAAACUCUUUAAGUGGGGACGAAGAAAGUGACUGUACCCACAGAAUAAGCCUCGGCUAACUACGCGCCAGCAGCCGCGGCAAUACGGAGGAGGCAAGCGUUAUUCGGAAUGACUGGGCGUAAAGGGUGCGUAGGGGGUUUGGCAAGUUAGUAGCGUAAUUCCGGGGCUCAACUUCGGAACUACUACUGAAACUGCUGGGCUUGAGUGCAGGAGGGGGAAAGGGAAUUCCUAGUGUAGCGGUGGAAUGCGUAGAUAUUAGGAGGAACACCAGUGGCGAAGGCGAGAUGCUGGACUGUAACUGACACUGAGGCACGAAAGCGUGGGGAGCAAACAGGAUUAGAUACCCGUGUAGUC